GACGAACGCUGGCGGCGUGCUUAACACAUGCAAGUCGAACGAUGAAGCCCAGCUUGCUGGGUGUGUUCGUGGCGCACGGGUGAGUAACACAUGAGCAACGUGCCCGAAACUCUGUAAUAACUACCGAAAACGGUGGCUAAUACUGGAUAUAUGCCAGGGAGGCAUCUCCUCUGGUUGGAAAGAUUUUUCGGUUUCGGAUCGGCUCACGGCCUAUCAGCUUGUUGGUGGGGUAAUGGCCUACCAAGGCGAUGACGGGUAGCCGGCCUGAGAGGGUGACCGGCCACACUGGGACUGAGACACGGCCCAGACUCCUACGGGAGGCAGCAGUGGGGAAUAUUGCACAAUGGGCGCAAGCCUGAUGCAGCAACGCCGCGUGAGGGAUGACGGCCUUCGGGUUGUAAACCUCUUUUAGUAGGGAAGAAGCGUAAGUGACGGUACCUGCAGAAAAAGCACCGGCUAACUACGUG
rnacentral:rRNA from 1 species